AAGAGCAAUCCUGGGAAACUUGAGUUGGAUAGUUAAUCUUUUGAUCCAACUUUGGGAAACUGGAGCAGGACCAGGAAAGGAUGUUCCCUUGGGUCCCCAAGGACAGUCACAUUGACCUCAUCUUCAAAUCCCUAUGGAUCUAUUCCAUCUGGACUCAUAGGACUUUGUGCAGAUGUGAUGGUAAAAAUUGAGAAUGAGGACUCCAAUGCUGUUCUGGACAGUGGAUCUCAAAGUACCAUCAUUUUCCAAUCUCAUGAUGGAUAUUUGGGUAAAAUAUCUUUAGAGCCUAUGACAGGGCUUAUACUCGGUUGGAGUGAUAAAGACUAUCCAUGUGUGGAACAUAUCCAGCAGGAUACUGCAAAUAAGAAGCUGGGACUCCAUAUUUGCAUACUUUGACCAUCCAUGCAGAGACUUUCACAGAGAUAGAGGAAAGAGA